ensembl:lncRNA
CAGGAAUUCUGGGGAGGAAAUGGGGCUCCACAGAAAGUAAACAAGAACAUGCAGUACUUUAUACAAAUAUUCUCAAAGAACACUCCAAAAAUCCUUCUUCCCCACCCCCCAUGGCUGGGAGUGGAAGGGCUUUCUUCUCUCUUAUAAAUAUCUUUGCUUUUGCUCUUUUUUCUUAAUGCCUUGUUGCCCUGAAACAGCAACAAGGCAAAAAAGCCUAGGUAAAAACCAAAGUGUCUGGCCCUCUGCUGUGGAGAAUGGGGCUAAACCAGAGGCAACGAGAGGAUCGCAAGUGCAUAAAACACUGCAGAUGAUUUUUAUUUUAGUUUUCUGAUUGGUUUGUUACAGCUUUCUGAAGAUUUGGACUUCAGUAUCAGUGUGUGUGUGUGUGUGUGUGUGUGUGUGCGCAUGAACAUAAGUGUGUCAGUGUUGCAUGUGCAUGGAAGUGUCUUUGAGCCUGUCUGAAUGUGUGUUGAGGGGGGCAGUUGCAUGUGCAGGAAGUGUGUGUCUGUAAGCCAGUCUGUGAAUUGUGAGUGUGGGUGUGUAUGGGUGUGUGUGUGUGCAAGAGUAUAGAUGUGUGGGUGUUGCAUGUGCAGGAAGUGUGUGUCUGUGAGCCGGUCUGUGAAUUGUGAGUGUGGGUGUAUAUGUGUGUGUGAAUAUGAGUGAAUGUCCACAAGCAUAUGAGAGGGAGCACGUGUGUGUGUGUGUGUGUGUGUGUGUGUGUGUGUGUGUGUUUGUGCUGAGAGCACUCUGGGUGUCAGCCCAGAAGAGACUCAGGACAUUUUGCAUCAGAUUCAUAGAAAAGGAGCCUGAAGUUAGGGGAGGGACAGAACACACCUAAUGGCUAGGCCAGUUCGUGGCAGAUGCCUGAUCUGAAAGCAAAGUUUCCUCCUCCAGCUCCCUUACCAUCAAGAUUCUUUUCCUUCCUCUUCGCUGACCUCUGAGACACCACCACCACCACUUCCCAGGCUGCUUUCUCACCUCCCCGUGUGCUUCUCUGGCCCUUGCUGUGAGGGACAUGCACCUGGGUCUAGAAGGGCAGAAGGGCAUCUGUCGUCCAAGGUUGACACUAAAAUGCCCUCGUACACCAUGAGGCUCAGGCUUCCCUCCCCGGAUCUUCCCUGCUCCCAUGGGGCUUAUGGAAGAACCUCAUCCUGGGUCUCCUGGCUGAGUCUGUUUGUUCUUCUCCAAGUUCCCUGGGUCAGCACAAGUCCAAGUGUGGAGGAGAUCUCUCUCUCAUCAGCAAUGUGAACACAAGGGCAGGAUGUGGGGCAUGAAUAAAUGGCAACCCCUGCCUUCCACCUACACAACUAAACUUUACCUAUUUGAACUUGAGGAAAGCAGUUUCCUAGAAUAUUUGGAGACCAAGAGCCCCGCUCCAUGUGCCAGGCUCCAUGCUCCUCAUGUGAACCUAUCCUGCAGAAGCCUCCCUUCCUGAUCCACCUGCUCUCUGAGUCACCUGUGUGCUCUGAGUCUCCCGGUUCUCUCAUCACGACAGAAAGUGCUGUGCCAGGUAAUGUCCCACUGAUCCACCAUCCAAAUCCACAUCUUGCCUGACCUUGAGCUGCCUACCUCUAAUUCUUCUCAGGCAUGGUCUAGAGCUUAAAGAGCACAUCACAUGGGAAAAAAGGCAAAGACUUUUGUGACACAGGUUUCCCCAUUCCCAGCUUUUUAUUCCACCACUCCUUUCCUGGAUGGGUCUGGCAUCUUAGUAACGGGGAGGAUGGAUUUUUAACAGUGCAAAGAGCCUGAGAGACCAUCUGAGGGCAGCCAGUUCAUGUAUCUGAGGACACUGAAAUCCUGGCAAGUACUGAUAGUUGGCCAGUCUAUGGCCAAGCUGGGAUGAGACCACGCCCCGUCCUGAGCUUUUUCACCUUCACCCGGCAGCUCCCCAGAUCUCAUACCAAUGCCUCCUCCCUGCUGGAGCUUUGAAAAGCCACUGCUGACCUGAAAAGUCCUGGAACCACUCUGCAGAGCAGGGAUGCAAAGGAUGUUGUGUCUUCCCUUUAGGUACAUACCAUGUUCCUGCAAAUGGCAUAAUUUUGUUCUUUUUAUGGCUAAGUAGUAUUCCAUUGUGUAUAUAUACCACAUCUUUCUAAUCCAACCAUCUGUCAAUGGCCAUUUGGGUUGUUUCCAUGUCUUGGCUAUUGUGCUGCAAUGAACAUGCAGGUGCAUGUGUCUUUUUUAAGGAAAGUUUUGUCCAAAUAUAUGCCCAAGAGUAGGAUUGCUGGGGCAUAUGAUAGUUCUAUGUAUAGUUUUCUAAGGUACCUCCAUACUGUUCUCCAUAGUGGUUGUACCAGCUUACAUUCCCACGAACAGUUCAGGAGGUUUCCCUUUUCUCCACACCCUCUCCAGCGUUUGUUAUUUGUGGACUUCGUAAUGAUGGCCGCUCUGACUGGCGUGAGGUAAUGAGAUCCUGCUGUGUAGCACUGGGAACUAUAUCUAGUCACUUAUGAUGGAGCAUGAUAUUGUGGGAAAAAAUAAUCUAUACAUGUACGUGUAACUGGGUCACCGUGUUGCCCAGUAGACAAUGGACAGAACACUGUAAACCAGCUAUAAUAAAAAAUAC